rnacentral:lncRNA from 1 species
UCCUCGUUGGAGAUUCUUCCUCCUCACCUCCAGCCCUGAUUUUGGGGAAUUUCUUUUUCUCUGUAAUGAAUUGAUAUCCGUUCCAGUACACGGAUAUUACAACCACUUACAAGAUAUAGAGUUUUUCUUCUAACACACUCUCAACGUACAAGAAGGGAAGAAGAAGAAGUUGAAGAACUAAGCACACAAUCUUGAUAGCAACUCCUAAAACAAUUUGCAAAAAAUAAAUAAGCAUAUUAUAAACGAAAAUAUGACGCUUAAAAAGUAUGAUAGGCUUAACUGUUCGUCUCGUCAUGCUCGUAACUCUUACUUUUUUCCUUCAUUC